AAUGGGCGAAAGCCUGAUGCAGCGACGCCGCGUGAGGGAUGACGGCCUUCGGGUUGUAAACCUCUUUCGCCCGGGACGAAGCGAGAGUGACGGUACCGGGAGAAGAAGCACCGGCUAACUACGUGCCAGCAGCCGCGGUAAUACGUAGGGUGCGAGCGUUGUCCGGAAUUAUUGGGCGUAAAGAGCUCGUAGGCGGUUUGUCGCGUCGACUGUGAAAACCUGGGGCUUAACUCUGGGCCUGCAGUCGAUACGGGCAGACUUGAGUUCGGUAGGGGAGACUGGAAUUCCUGGUGUAGCGGUGAAAUGCGCAGAUAUCAGGAGGAACACCGGUGGCGAAGGCGGGUCUCUGGGCCGAUACUGACGCUGAGGAGCGAAAGCGUGGGGAGCGAACAGGAUUAGAUACCCUGGUAGUCCACGCUGUGAACGUUGGGCGCUAGGUGUGGGGGACAUUCACGUUCUCCGUGCCGUAGCUAACGCAUUAAGCGCCCCGCCUGGGGAGUACGGCCGCAAGGCUA
rnacentral:rRNA from 1 species